UACGUAGGUGGCAAGCGUUAUCCGGAUUUAUUGGGCGUAAGGGGAACGCAGGCGGUCUUUUAAGUCUGAUGUGAAAGCCUUCGGCUUAACCGGAGUAGUGCAUUGGAAACUGGGAGACUUGAGUGCAGAAGAGGAGAGUGGAACUCCAUGUGUAGCGGUAAAAUGCGUAGAUAUAUGGAAGAACACCAGUGGCGAAAGCGGCUCUCUGGUCUGUAACUGACGCUGAGGUUCGAAAGCGUGGGUAGCAAACAGG
rnacentral:rRNA from 1 species